rnacentral:rRNA from 1 species
CCUACGGGGGGCAGCAGUGAGGAAUAUUGGUCAAUGGGCGAGAGCCUGAACCAGCCAAGUCGCGUGAGGGAAGACGGCCCUACGGGUUGUAAACCUCUUUUGUCAGGGAGCAAGAACGGAUACGUGUAUCCGAGCGAGAGUACCUGAAGAAAAAGCAUCGGCUAACUCCGUGCCAGCAGCCGCGGUAAUACGGAGGAUGCGAGCGUUAUCCGGAUUUAUUGGGUUUAAAGGGUGCGUAGGCGGUCCGGAAAGUCAGCGGUAAAAGCCCGGGGCUCAACCCCGGCGAGCCGUUGAAACUGUCGGAC